CUAUACAGGCAUACCACCCUGAAUGUGCAGAAUCUUAUCUGAUCUAGGAAGUUAAGCAGGGUUGGGCCUGGUUAGUACUUGGAUAGAAGACAAAAGAACACAAAAAGGGAAGAUGUCUAGG
ensembl:rRNA 5S_rRNA 5S ribosomal RNA